CCUUGUUUCAUAUGUAUGUGUAUAUAUAUAUAUAUAUAUAUAUAUAUAUAUAUAUAUAUAUAUAUAUAUAUAUAUAUAUAUAUAUAUAUAUAUAUAUAUAUAUAUAUAUAUAUAUAUUUUUAUUGGGGUAGCCCCCAAAAUAUUGGGACAUAUUAAAAAACGACAACUCUGUUCCGUGACGGCGACUUUGCAUUCGGAUGUCAUCCAUAUCAACUUUCGAUGCCAGUUUCUGCGCCUACCAUGGUGACCACAGGUAACAGGGAAUCAGGGUUCCAUUCCGUACAGGGACCCUGAGAAACAGCUACCACAUGCAAGGAAGGCAGCAGGCGCGCAAAUGACCCACUCCCGACGCGGGAAGGUAGUGACG